GAUGAACGCUGGCGGCGUGCUUAACACAUGCAAGUCGAACGGAGUUGUUUCGCUGACGAGACUUCGGUCAAAUCUUGAAACAACUUAGUGGCGGACGGGUGAGUAACGCGUGGGUAACCUGCCAUAUACAGGGGGAUAACACUUAGAAAUAGGUGCUAAUACCGCAUAAGCGCACGGAGCUGCAUGGCUCAGUGUGAAAAACUCCGGUGGUAUAUGAUGGACCCGCGUCUGAUUAGCUAGUUGGUGAGGUAACGGCCCACCAAGGCGACGAUCAGUAGCCGGCCUGAGAGGGUGAACGGCCACAUUGGGACUGAGACACGGCCCAAACUCCUACGGGAGGCAGCAGUGGGGAAUAUUGCACAAUGGGGGGAAACCCUGAUGCAGCGACGCCGCGUGAGUGAAGAAGUAUUUCGGUAUGUAAAGCUCUAUCAGCAAGGAGAAAAUGACGGUACUGACUAAGAAGCCCCGGCUAACUACGUGCCAGCAGCCGACGG
rnacentral:rRNA from 1 species